rnacentral:rRNA from 1 species
CUGGCGUCUUCGGCGUCCGCAUUGUAAUCUCAAGAAGUGUUUUCCGCUUCGGACCAAGCCUAAGUCCCCUGGAAAGGGGCAUCAUAGAGGGUGAUAAUCCCGUACAUGGCUUGGAGCGCCCGAGGCUUUGUGAUACGCUUUCUAAGAGUCGAGUUGUUUGGGAAUGCAGCUCAAAAUGGGUGGUAAAUGCCAUCUAAGGCUAAAUAUUGGGGAGAGACCGAUAGCGAACAAGUACAGUGAUGGAAAGAUGAAAAGAACUUUGAAAAGAGAGUUAAACAGUACGUGAAAUUGCCAAAAGGGAAGGGUAGGAGGUCAGAGAUGCGGCCUGGGAUUCAGCCUUGCUUUUGCUUGGUGUUUUUCCCAGAUUGCAGGCCAACGUCGGUUUUGGGCACUGGAGAAGGGUAGGAGGAACGUGGCACCCCUCGGGGUGUGUUAUAGCCUCCUACUGGAUACAGCGACCGAGACCGAGGACAGCAGCGUACUCGCAAGAGCGGGCCUUCGGGCACCUUUACGCUUAGGGCGUUGGCAUAAUGGCCCUCUACCAC